GUAAUAAAUAGAAACAAGUGUCGCGCGAGCGAUGCCUCGGUUAUUACCGUCCUGUCAGUUUCCGGUUUAAUCUCGUUUCGUCGUCGUGCAGAAAGACGGAAUUUGUCGUGCAAUCAUCGCCCGAACCGCAUAAAUACUUCGCUUCACUUACGUAUCGCGCGUGAUAUUAUUGCUGGGAUUAAUUUCCCGACGACGACAGACGCAUAAGUGCCAGUCAACGUCUCUAUUCGUUUAUUGGCAUCAAUGAACCAUCGUUCGCCGUGUUACAACUAUAUCGAUAUCAUCAGCGUCACCGUCAUGUUAGAUUGCACUCAAUCAUUGCGAUCUUAAGUCACCAUUUAUUAUCAUAUCUUGGCAUUGGAUUAACUAAUAACAAAGAUCAGGAAUGUUGGAAAUCCACCAAAAUAACGGACAGUCUUGCAGUCUCUGAUGUCUUCGUACAAAUGUUUCAUCAUUUCUCAACAAAGAUCUAGAAUUCACUGGUUUUUAAUUAAUUUUUUAAUUAAUUAUAAUAAUUUCGUCAAAAUCUUUAAUUCUUUUUAUAAUCGGCUUUUUUAUAGUAUUUUUAAUUUGGAUGGAAUUUGGUGAGCUUUUCGAUUGCAUCGGACGGAUCACAGGCAGCUUCCAUAUCUUCUCCUGGACGUCAUCGACUUUAGGGAUUACAAACCGACUCGGAAUAAAUGUUGAGUCGACGCGAGCGAGCGGCCGCGCGAAUCGGGCUCGCUUCGCACGCGCGAAUCGCUCACGCAUAUAUCGAGCAUUUAGUGAGUCAGCGACGGCCGUGGCAUCAUCGCGUGGUAUUCUCUACCGAGAACCCGAUGCACGAGAGCGCAAGAACACGCGUGUCUCUGUUCCGACGAGAGGCUGGGCUCUCGUCUCCCGCGUAUCGUCCGCGGACGUGCAGUGAGUCAGUGAGAUCACGCGGCGACACGCUAAAUAUAAUUGACACGGACGUGUGCAAUGACAACGCGCGCGAGCACGCGCGUGCGGCAGCGUGCGUCGCCGCCGAGAGGAUUUGGAAGACGAGAGGAGAGGCCUCCUCUCCGUCGUCGGCGAUCGGACUCGCCGAUGAUCGAUUUUCGCGCUCCUGAUAUUCCGUAUUCACCGUCCCGCGGCGGAGCAAUCUCGUCGGAGCGGGCGAAACACGCGCGAUCGCAUGCGGAAUCGUUCCGCUCGCGCCGCUUCGCUAAAUAUAGCGUUACGCGAAUUCGCGAUUAUUUCGGUAUUCGCCGCAGCUGCGCGAUUCGUCCCGAGCUCACCGCGAGUGAUAUCGAGAGGAUUUUCGAGGCCGAGCGCGAAUGAAGAGCGAAAGAGCGAAAGAGAGAGAGAGAGAGAGGGAAUGAGCUCUCUUGAGAAGCGACCACGAUUCUUGGUGAACCAGGAAGGAGCGUACGGCCGGGUCGAAUCAGCGAUGUCCGUUCGUGGGUGACAGAAGGCCGCAGGCAGGGGCAGGGAGGAUGGAUGCGCUCUAAUAUGCAGAAACGAUGAGGAACGUUGGCCACUACCGUGACGCAAUUUCCGGACGCCUCUAUCGGAGUUGGCGCACCCAUGGAAAGGUCCGGUGCUCCCGAUAGCGGUGCCUGUCUUCUCCCCCUCCCUUCCCUCUGUAUCUCAACGCGUACUGUUCGUGCUCGUUUGCUUCUUUUUCUUCUUAUUUUAUUUCCUCUUUUUGCGCGGCACGAUCCGCAGAAAACUUUCGAGCGAAAAAUCCAAAUCUCUUUUUUUCUCUCGCGCGAGAGGGGAGUGAGGCAGGGGGGAGAGUGGAGGUAAAGGAGCCCAACGCUACACCAUCGCGUCUCGCGAAACUUCAUCGGCGAAGUGUCCGACGAAAAUUGGAAUUUCCCGUGAGUACCGAAUACCGGAAGUUAGAUCCGGAUUAAGCAAGGAACCUCUCAAAGUGCUCCGCGGUCCUUUUAAUUUCGUUUCUCCUCUCUGCGAUGUGUUUUCCGCCGAUCUCGCAUGUUGCCAAGGUGGCCGAUACUCUACGACGCUAUUUCUCCGACGAGCGUCUUCGAGUUUUUCGUGAGACGUUUCGGACAGUGUAUUCCCGUAAAUAUCGAUAAAUCAAUUGAUGGAAAACUCGAAGAAGGUGAACAACCGGACGACAGAAUUUACGCGCACCACUCUCGCGUUUACAUUCUCGUGACUUCAUUCAAAUGCGUAUUUGCAUCGUCUCGUAUUUCCUGACGUCAUUAUAUUGUAUUAAUUAAUUUACAAUCUCGCGCGUUUUUGUAAUAAGGGUUUACAAUAAAAUAAUAGCGUCGAAACUGUAUGCUAAUGUUUUCUUAUCUUAUCGUGCUCAAUUCAAUUGCACGUGAGUUUUUAUUAAAAAUAAAUGCGAUAUUUGAUAAAA